AAGUCGUAACAAGGUCUCCGUAGGUGAACCUGCGGAGGGAUCAUUAACACUUCACAAAAGCAAAGUAGACUAGCUGCACUUCGUGUAUUUAGUCUCACUUUACUUUUUAACCAACUCGUGAACGAAACUGUAUGAACGAAACUGUAUGCCCUGCCUCCUUAGCUGUUCAUUCGAUCAGCUAGGUGUGUUUUUAUACUGUAUUUAUUGUUUACUACAAACCAUAAUACCAACUGUUGUAACACUGUUCAUAGCAUUCAUUUGCUAUGUACUGAUACUAUAACAAACUUAUAAGCACAACUCUUAGCAACGGAUAUCUCGGUUCUC
rnacentral:misc_RNA from 1 species